rnacentral:tRNA from 1 species
GCGAGAGUGGCGGAAUUGGCAGACGCGCUGGAUUUAGGAUCCAGUGUCUUUCGACGUGGGGGUUCGAGUCCCCCCUCUCGCACCA